rnacentral:lncRNA from 1 species
ACGCCAACGCCUGCUGCAGCCCGAGGACCUGCGGCACGUGCUGGUGGACGACAAGCACCGGCUUCUGUACUGCUACGUGCCCAAGGUGGCCUGCACCAACUGGAAGCGCGUGCUGCUGGCGCUGCGCGGCCGUGGGGACCCGGGAGCAAUCCCUGCGCACGAGGCGCAUGAGCCUGGUCUGCUGCCCUCGUUAGCCGACUUUGCGCCAGCUGAAGUCAACCGGCGGCUGCGCGACUACCUGACCUUCCUCUUUGUGCGCGAGCCCUUCGAGCGCCUGGCCUCAGCCUACCGCAACAAGCUGGCGCGGCCACACAGCGCGGCCUUCCAGAGGCGCUAUGGCACGCGCAUCGUGCGUCGCCUACGACCGCACGCGCAGCCGGAUGCGCUGGCUCGCGGCCACGACGUGCGCUUUGCCGAGUUCCUGGCCUACCUGCUCGACCCGCGCACGCGCCGCUACGAGCCCUUCAACGAGCACUGGGAGCGCGCGCAUGCGCUGUGCCAUCCAUGCCUAGUGCGCUAUGAUGUAGUGGGCAAGUUUGAAACACUGGCGGAUGAUGCUGCCUUUGUGCUGCACCUGGUGGGCGAGCCUGGCCUGCGCUUCCCUGCUCCACCGCUGAGGCCAGAGAAGGACCUCACGCGUGUCCAGGCCCGGCGCCUUUUCCAGGACAUCAGCCCCUUCUACCAGCGUCGCCUCUUUGACCUCUAUAAGAUGGACUUUC